UCCUCUGUAGUUCAGUCGGUAGAACGGCGGACUGUUAAUCCGUAUGUCACUGGUUCGAGUCCAGUCAGAGGAGGCA
rnacentral:tRNA from 2 species